GCCUAUUAGCUAGCCCCAUCAAUCAAACCCAACAAACAAAUAUAAAUAAACCCAAAAACACUAGACUUACUCAAACAAAACAUUUUCCCUCCCUAGUAUGGGCGACAGAAAAGGAUCCUAGGGCGCAAUAGAAUAAGUACCGCAAGGGAAAGCUGAAAGAGAAAUGAAAUAAACCAGUAAAGCCAAAAAAAGCAGAGAUUUCUCCUC
rnacentral:rRNA from 1 species